rfam:Ictidomys tridecemlineatus contig072747, whole genome shotgun sequence.
GAGAGUGUAGCUCAGUGGUGGAGCACUUGCCUAGCAUUCUUGAGGCCCUGGCUUCAAUCCCCAGCACUGUUU